AAUGGGGGAAACCCUGAUCUAGCCAUGCCGCGUGAGUGACGAAGGCCCUAGGGUCGUAAAGCUCUUUCAACUGUGAAGAUAAUGACGGUAGCAGUAGAAGAAACCCCGGCUAACUCCGUGCCAGCAGCCGCGGUAAUACGGAGGGGGUUAGCGUUGUUCGGAAUUACUGGGCGUAAAGCGCGCGUAGGCGGACUAUUAAGUCGAGGGUGAAAUCCCGGGGCUCAACCCCGGAACUGCCUUCGAUACUGGUAGUCUUGAGUUCGAGAGAGGUGAGUGGAAUUCCGAGUGUAGAGGUGAAAUUCGUAGAUAUUCGGAGGAACACCAGUGGCGAAGGCGGCUCACUGGCUCGAUACUGACGCUGAGGUGCGAAAGUGUGGGGAGCAAACAGGAUU
rnacentral:rRNA from 1 species